ensembl:lncRNA
GGGGCACCCUCACUUCUCCGGGGCCUCACAGCCCUCUGAGCCGUGCAACGAGUCACUCUCCCUCCUGAUUACGAACUCUCCCACCCCUGCUCGUAGCUUCCUGUUUGCCAGGGCAGCUCUGGGGUGAGCACAGUCUUGUUUUCGUGCAGCUCAGCCUUCCCACAGGCUGCGGUUUCAGCAGCUGACAGCACCGGGCGCCCCGCAGCCAGGUGUGACCGCACGGGGUCGGUUCGGAGCGAAGGAGAAGAGAGGGGAGCUGAGAUCAAGGUGUGCAUCUGCGAGGGAAGGAGCUUCCCAGCUCAGCCCCUGCUGGGGUUUCAAACCCCACCGAGCGCUCUGCUCCUACACCUGCAGAGCUGCUCACCCGGUCCAGGGGCUCUUCGUUUGGGCUCUGGGAUGCACACGGGAGGUUGGUGUUUUCCUUUGGAACGUGUCCUAGGUUUGAUUCCUUUUUUACUCUUCCAGAAUGAGGAGAACAGAACCCUGGGGAAGGUGCUGUGGUCCGGGUGGCUCCUGGCUGCACCCAGCCCAAUGUCCCGCAGCAUCUCCACAUGGCUCUCCUACAGAGGAAGGGGUGGAUCAGCUGUAUCCGGAAUGCAACGAUUCACUGUCACCUCCACAGCUCCCCCCGUGAG